UACGUAGGGGGCUAGCGUUAUCCGGAAUUACUGGGCGUAAAGGGUGCGUAGGCGGUCUUUCAAGCCAGAAGUGAAAGGCUACGGCUCAACCGUAGUAAGCUUUUGGAACUGUAAGACUUGAGUGCAGGAGAGGAGAGUGGAAUUCCUAGUGUAGCGGUGAAAUGCGUAGAUAUUAGGAGGAACACCAGUAGCGAAGGCGGCUCUCUGGAUUGUAACUGACGCUGAGGCACGAAAGCGUGGGGAGCAAACAGGAUUAGAUACCCCCGUAGUCCCUGA
rnacentral:rRNA from 1 species